rnacentral:rRNA from 1 species
UACGUAGGGUGCGAGCGUUGUCCGGAAUUAUUGGGCGUAAAGAGCUCGUAGGCGGUUUGUCGCGUCGGCCGUGAAAUCUCCACGCUUAACGUGGAGCGUGCGGUCGAUACGGGCAGACUUGAGUUCGGUAGGGGAGACUGGAAUUCCUGGUGUAGCGGUGAAAUGCGCAGAUAUCAGGAGGAACACCGGUGGCGAAGGCGGGACUCUGGGCCGAUACUGACGCUGAGGAGCGAAAGCGUGGGGAGCAAGCAGG